AUUUGUGCGCAGGGAGCGAUCUACGGCGAAUGAUAAAGCAAGUCCAUAAUGGCAUAUUGAAAAGAAAAACAUACUAAAACAGAACAGAGACUUGUACUACUUCUCUACAAUAUGAGCUCGGAUACACUCUCCACUCGUACUGAGACAAUUGAGA